AAUUUUAGAUGAAAUUUGUUAGUAAAAUAGGUUUCAAUUGGAAAUUAUUUCAAUAAUAAUAUAAAGCUCCAGUUUAAAAAUAGGGAUUAGAUACCCCUUUAUUAGGUUGAAGAAAUUUUUGUCCACGGUUAGAAACUGAAAGGGUUUGGCAGCAAACUAAAUUCUUCCGGGGGAAGGUGCUUAUUAAAGAGAUGAUCCGCUUACUAUUUUACUAUACCUAAUGUUAGUGUAUAUCCGUUUGUAUAUUCACGCUUAGAGGUAAUAAGUGGGUAAAUAUUAAUUAAUUUAAGGCAGGU
rnacentral:rRNA from 1 species